AAUCUGCUUUCGUUAUUGCGGAAAGAGCUGAGCUGUGAAUCGCUUGUAGACGAAGUGCAUUGUAGACUACGAAAAUUUUGCGCUGAAUGUCUCAUUGACAAUCUUCAUGUUCUUGUACACAAACUUUGCGGGGUACUCUACCACCGUGGAAGUAUGAAACAAGUACUUGCUGAGAAUGUGGAAGCUGUUGCUCAGAUUGUCAGCAAGGCAUUCUGAAAAGGUGUUAUGUUAUGAUACUAUAUUUUCUUGUGUAUGAGAAACUCCCUUGUACAAGAUGUACCCCCCCAAAAUCAAAGCAAUAUCAAGGUAUAAAUGUAAAGAUCAUAUAUUUAACAUCUUAAACCCCUGUAAAGUAACUUUCGCUGUUUUCAGUCCUCUCUUAUAUGAAAUCCAAGAAACUCUUUGUCAGAAUCUGAAAAUUCUUGUUCAUACAGGAAGUUGUUCUUACUUACCUGGGCCGUUAUGCUUCAUAAAGCAGUAGCACAAAGUUGCUCCACCUUUGAAAUUUCUUACAGGCAUGAGCUAAUUUUAGAGCUUGUGCACAUAUAUAUAUAUAUUAUUUUUAUUUUUUAUUAUUGCAAUGCCAUUGUGAGUGUCCUGUCCAUUUCAGUAUGUCAGCAACCAUUUCUUACCAUUUUGCACUUUUCCCAUGCUAAGCACAUUUUCUGUUAAUUAACUUUUUCAAAACCUCUUUGUGAGCCAUACCCAUAUAAUUUUCUUCAAUUGGUAGAGGAUCAAAAUGUUUUCUGCAGUCCUGUUCCAAUGCUCCUGUGCAUUACCUACAAUUUGCAGUUUAUAGCAAACAGUCCAUGAAAGCUGCUUGUUUUUUGUUUUUGUUUUACCAUAAUUAGCCAGGAAUUUCAUAAAUAAGGCACUGACUGCUAAAAAUAAUUUAGUUACUGAUUAAAAUUUGUCAUUUGUAACAACAUACUUGUUUUGAUAGUUGAAUAUUGCUUUUUAUGUGGGGUGGGAGUUAGAGAAACAAUUAUGAACCAAAUUUCACUCUGACUGGCCGAUUCACAGUGCAUGUGCACUGACAAGGGUCCGACUUUUGUUAUAUAAGAUGCAUAGUGUUUUAAGACUGCAUUUUUUAAAGAAAUGGAAUGUCUACACCUAAUAUUUUGGCCAGGAAGUCAAAGGAGGGUCUACUGGCAUACUGCAAAACUGGAGCUUAAUCGGGGGGAUACCUCAACCAGGUUCCCUGAUCAGUCUAGUGCUAGUAUCAGAAAAUGUAAGGGUAUUUACUAGCAUGUCUAAUAUACUUAGAGUAGAAUACGUAUAAGCACAGGUAUGCCUUGUUUCCACAAUGUGGGUGUGAGGAACUAAAAAUAUGCUUGAUUCAACAAUGUUUGAGAGAAUCAGGUAAACAGUACCAAUCCUUCCUCCUGUGGUCUGUGUAUUACCUGUUCUAAAAACAUUUAACUGGCAAUGGAACUUAUUUUGCUGUUAUACUCUACGCAUGUCAGUCUCUUAACAUGACUGCUUUCACAAAGAACAGGAGAACAAUGUUAACACCACAACUCCUGUUGGUCAGUAUGAUUUAAACCAUUGUAUGCAGAAUAUUCAGUACCACAGACUUGCCUUUGUGGGAGCCUUUGCCAUUCCAUGAUGCAACUGAAUCCCUGAUAAUAGAAAAUACAGCAAGACAGUUAUUCCCCGAAAAAAAUAUUACUAACAGUAACAUUUAAUAGCUUUAUUUAUUUCCAUACUUCACCAAAAUGCCCUAAAGACAUUCCUUACUAUAAUAUAUUUAAAAUAAUGAAAGUAACACAAACACACUGACUUUCACUGUGAAACACUGGUCUGGAUUUAGUUUCUGAAUUUGAAGACAUAUUCAGUGUAAGGUAAAGGUGCUCUGUGCAAUGCACAUGAAAAAAUACUGCACACACACUGUGCAAGCAAACAAUUCAGCAGAUUAAACACUGGUUAUUUCCUGCCUAUGAUGUGAAUCUGUUCCUUCCCCCAUUGCACUACAUUAAAUUAGUGUAUGCAAUUUCCACAUUUAAGGUUAUGUAGCCAGUUGGUACCAUAUUGUGGUAAGUCAUUUAAGCCUCUUUUUUUUACUCGUAUGAUGUUAAUGAUUUAGAGUAGUUAUAUCAGAAAACUCAGUACUGAUAUUUAAAUAUAUAUUUAUAUUCGUUCCAUAAAUCUGAAUUCACUUUGGGCUUAGUUUAGUUUUUUAUACAGUAUGUUGGCUUGCAGUGUUCAGGCAUACAUUAGUUGCAGUACUGAACUGAAAAGAAUAUUUCUGUUUCUCUUUAAAUGUAAUAAUAUAUUUAUUUGCCAUGUAUAUUAAUUCAAUGACAUUUGAGGUUGGGUUAGUUUAAUUUUUGGAUACAGAUUCAGAUUAUGAAGGCAGAAGUAGUUUUCUUUUCAAACCACAUCGAUUCACACACAAGCCCACUUAUUUAUGAUUGAGUGAUGUCAGUAAUUACAUCAGAAUUUACAUCAGGUUAUAGCUUUUGGAUUACUAAAUUAUUGAUUUACAAUGCUUUCAAACUACAGGCUGGGUGGUCUGGGUUAGAUCCACGAUGGGGGCAGAGGAUUUUUCCUCUAGCCUCUUGUUUCCAGACAGGCUCUGGGGACCAUCCAGCCUUGUAUCCAAUGGGUACCGGGGGUCCUUUCCCCUGGGGGGGAUGAUUUUCAUUAUAUUUGAUGGUGGAAGAUACCAUGUUAAGUUACCAAACAUGGUGGCCAAGUAGUUAGCGCCCAGCUCUAUGUUAGGGAGGGCCUGUGAUCAAAACUUGGCAUGAAGGCUAUCUACCCUAAGUUCUUCCAAGCAGGUGACAAUAUAUUGCCUUAUAUUAAGCUAGGGUCGUGUUUAUUUAUUAUAUCAUUUCAACACUGUAUAGUCAUGGUUGAGCAUUGAUAAAUAAACCAUGAAUGAAUAAUCAA